rnacentral:rRNA from 1 species
CCUACGGGAGGCUGCAGUAGGGAAUCUUCCACAAUGGGCGCAAGCCUGAUGGAGCAACACCGCGUGAGUGAAGAAGGGUUUCGGCUCGUAAAGCUCUGUUGUUGGAGAAGAACGUGCGUGAGAGUAACUGUUCACGCAGUGACGGUAUCCAACCAGCAAGUCACGGCUAACUCCGUGCCAGCCGCCGCUGUAAUACGGAGGUGGCAAGCGUUAUCCGGAUUUAUUGGGCGUAAAGGGAGCGCAGGUGGUUGCUUAGGUCUGAUGUGAAAGCCUUCGGCUUAACCGACGAAGUGCAUCGGAAACUGGGCGACUUGAGUGCGGGAGAGGACAGUGGAACGCCAGGUGUAGCGGUGGAAUGCGUAGAUAUAUGGCAGAACACCAGUGGCGAAGGCGGCUGUCUGGUCUGCAACUGACGCUGAGGCUCGAAAGCAUGGGUAGCGAACAGGAUUAGAUACCCUUGUAGUC